rnacentral:tRNA from 1 species
GGUCGGGAUAGCUCAGCUGGUARAGCARAGGACUGAAAAUCCUCGUGUC